AAUGAACGCUGGCGGCGGGCCUAAUACAUGCAAGUCGAGCGAACAGACGAGGAGCGUUCUCCUCUAACGUUAGCGGCGGACGGGUGAGUAACACGUGCAUAACCUACCUCUUAGACUGGGAUAACUUCGUGAAACCGGAGCUAAUAACACCUAACAUGAUGAACCGCAUGGUUCAACAGAGAAACACAGCCUUGCCGUCACUUAUAGACGGAUCCGCGUCGCCUUAGCUAGUUGGUAAGGUAACGGCUUGACAAGGAGACGAUGCGUAGCCGACCUGAGAGGAUGAUCGGCCACACUGGAACUGAGACACGGUCCAGACUCCUACGGGAGGCAGCAGUGGGGAAUCUUCGGCAAUGGGCGAAAGCCUGACGCAGCCAUGCCGCGUGAGUGAAGAAGGUCUUCGGAUCGUAAAACUCUGUUAUUAGGGAAGAAAAAAUGUGUAAGAAAACAUGGACGUUUUGACGGUACCUAAACAGAAAGCAACGGCUAACUACGUG
rnacentral:rRNA from 1 species